rnacentral:rRNA from 1 species
UGCAGUCGAACGGUAACAGGUCUUCGGACGCUGACGAGUGGCGAACGGGUGAGUAAUACAUCGGAACGUGCCCAGUCGUGGGGGAUAACUACUCGAAAGAGUAGCUAAUACCGCAUACGAUCUGAGGAUGAAAGCGGGGGACCUUCGGGCCUCGCGCGAUUGGAGCGGCCGAUGGCAGAUUAGGUAGUUGGUGGGAUAAAAGCUUACCAAGCCGACGAUCUGUAGCUGGUCUGAGAGGACGACCAGCCACACUGGGACUGAGACACGGCCCAGACUCCUACGGGAGGCAGCAGUGGGGAAUUUUGGACAAUGGGCGAAAGCCUGAUCCAGCAAUGCCGCGUGCAGGAUGAAGGCCUUCGGGUUGUAAACUGCUUUUGUACGGAACGAAAAAGCUCCUUCUAAUACAGGGGGCCCAUGACGGUACCGUAAGAAUAAGCACCGGCUAACUACGUGCCAGCAGCCGCGGUAAUACGUAGGGUGCGAGCGUUAAUCGGAAUUACUGGGCGUAAAGCGUGCGCAGGCGGUUAUGUAAGACAGAUGUGAAAUCCCGGGCUCAACCUGGGAACUGCAUUUGUGACUG